rnacentral:rRNA from 1 species
GUCCACGCCGUAAACGAUGAGUGCUAGGCGUUGGGGGUAUUGACCCCUCCAGUGCCGCAGCUAACGCGUUAAGCACUCCGCCUGGGGAGUACGGCCGCAAGGCUAAAAACUCAAAGGAAUUGACGGGGCCCGCACAAGCGGUGGAGUAUGUGGUUUAAUUCGACGCAACGCGCAGAACCUUACCUGGGUUAAAAUCCACCGGAAGCCGCCAGAAAAGGUGGGGUGCCCUUCGGGGAACCGGUGAGAAGGUGCUGCAUGGCUGUCGU